rnacentral:rRNA from 1 species
AGUGAACGCUGGCGGUAGGCCUAGCACAUGCAGUCGAACGGCAGCACAGUAAGAGCUUGCUCUUACGGGUGGCGAGUGGCGGACGGGUGAGGAAUACAUCGGAAUCUACUUUUUCGUGGGGGAUAACGUAGGGAAACUUACGCUAAUACCGCAUACGACCUACGGGUGAAAGCAGGGGAUCUUCGGACCUUGCGCGAUUGAAUGAGCCGAUGUCGGAUUAGCUAGUUGGCGGGGUAAAGGCCCACCAAGGCGACGAUCCGUAGCUGGUCUGAGAGGAUGAUCAGCCACACUGGAACUGAGACACGGUCCAGACUCCUACGGGAGGCAGCAGUGGGGAAUAUUGGACAAUGGGCGCAAGCCUGAUCCAGCCAUACCGCGUGGGUGAAGAAGGCCUUCGGGUUGUAAAGCCCUUUUGUUGGGAAAGAAAAGCAGCAGGUUAAUACCCCGCUGUUCUGACGGUACCCAAAGAAUAAGCACCGGCUAACUUCGUG